CCUACGGGCGGCUGCAGUGGGGAAUAUUGGACAAUGGGGGGAACCCUGAUCCAGCCAUGCCGCGUGUGUGAAGAAGGCCCUCGGGUUGUAAAGCACUUUCAGUGAGGAAGAACGCCUGGUGGUUAAUACCCAUCAGGAAAGACAUCACUCACAGAAGAAGCACCGGCUAACUCCGUGCCAGCAGCCGUGGUAAUACGGAGGGUGCGAGCGUUAAUCGGAAUUACUGGGCGUAAAGCGCGCGUAGGUGGCUUGAUAAGCCGGUUGUGAAAGCCCCGGGCUCAACCUGGGAACGGCAUCCGGAACUGUCAAGCUAGAGUGCAGGAGAGGAAGGUAGAAUUCCCGGUGUAGCGGUGAAAUGCGUAGAGAUCGGGAGGAAUACCAGUGGCGAAGGCGGCCUUCUGGACUGACACUGACACUGAGGUGCGAAAGCGUGGGUAGCAAACAGGAUUAGAUACCCUGGUAGUC
rnacentral:rRNA from 1 species